rnacentral:tRNA from 1 species
GCGGCCGUAGUGUAGUGGCCCAGCACUUGAGCCUUCCAAGCUCAUAACCCGGGUUCAAAUCCCGGCGGCCGCA